rnacentral:lncRNA from 1 species
UACACCAACUUUUAGUUUCUUUCAAAAUAAUCUAUAUUGACACACCCAGAUAAAUGAUAGGUAUAUUAUGCUAUAUAUGAAACAAAAAUUGGUCAUUAUACUAUGUAUUUACAAAUUACUUAAAGAAAAAUAGGCAAAAAAAUGUUCAAAGGUCCAUAAACCAAGGUAAACCAUUAACUAAUCAAUGAUUACAGAAAUUCAAUGGGAUACUUUGUCUAUAAAAUGUGCAGAUUUUUAACCUUAAGAAACACUUAAAAAAAAAGAAGAGCAUAAUUUUACCAAUCUAAUUGGCAUAGAAAUUUAAAAGCCUGUCUGUCGGGACACAGUGAGUGAUGUUACUCUUAUAGCACUCACAAAAAACUGGAAUGACUGCCAAUUACAAGCAUACCUAGAAGAUUUUGGGAAUACUACGCAGCUCUCCAAAUGCAAUGAGAAAGCCCGUUUAACAGGAAAUGUGCAGUACAAGCAACCAUAGCAAUGAAGGUCAUAUGGACAUGAAGAAACUAGUCUUAAUUUGCCUGAGAAUAGAAUUAGGAAAGUGUUCAUUCUUUCAUUAGUGUGCCCAUUAUAAAAAGACAAUGUAAUUCCAUGGAACAGCUUAACAUGACAGAUAUUAUUUUUUGAGACAGGGUCUCACUCUGUCGCCCAGGUUGAAGUGCAGUGGUGCAAUCACAGCUCACUUCGGCCUUGACCUCCCAGGCUCAAGCAAUUCUCUUGCCUUAGUCUCUCAGGUAGCUAGAACCACAGGCAUGUGCCACCAUGCCCAGCUGUUUGCCAGAAAUAUUUUUUAGGCCAGGCGUGGUGGUUCACGCCUGUAAUCCCAGCACUUUGGGAGGCCAAGGCGGUGGAUCACUUGAGGUCAGGAGUUUGAGACCAGCCUGACCAACAUGGUGAAACCCUGUUUCUACUAAAAAUACAAAAAUUAGCCGGGCGUGGUGGCAGGUGCUUAUAAUCUCAGCUACUCAGGAGGCUGAGGCUGAGGCAGGAGAAUCGCCUGUAAUCCUAGCACUUUGGGAUUGGGAUGGCUUAAGCUCAGGAGUUUGAGACCAGGCUGGGCGAUAGAGUAAUACCCUGGUCUUUAAAAAAAGAAGAAAAAUUUUUAAGCCUUAUGAUAUCUGACAGGCCAUUGCUCUACACUCAUAAAAAUGGCAAAUCUUUUUUUUUUUUUUUUUGAGACUGAGUCUUGCUCUGUCACCCAGGCUGGAGUCCAGUGGCAUGAUCUCUGCUCACUGCAACCUCCACCUCCCAAGCAGCUGGGAUUACAGGCACGUGCCACCACACCUGGCUAAUUUUUGUAUUUUUAGUGGCGACAGGGUUUCACCAUGUUGGCCAGGCUGGUCUCAUACUACUGACCUCAGGUGAUCCGCCUGCCUCGGCCUCCCAAAGUGCUGGGAUUACAGGCAUGAGCCACCGUGCCCAGCCGGCAAAUCUUUUGUUAACCAGAUAAGACCUUUUGAGCGAAAUCCAACAGCAAAAUGUUUUUAUUCGUUUGUAUUAAAAAGCAAACACAACACCAAACAUGCCUGGUAGAAUUUUGUGCCUGUCUCACCAUUUUGCUACAAGAAACUGUUACUGACCCAUCUGCGUACCAAUACCCAUCCAAAAAUCUUUAAUGUGAAAGGCUUGCUAAUGAUUACAGAGCUGAGUUCCUGUAUUAGACUAUAACAUGACUAAGCAACUUUUUUAAAAGAGCUACUAAAAAGUUUUAAGGUUCUUUAAAAAGGGUGCUAACAAUUUGUUCAUAUAUGGAAAGAAUACAUAUGUGGGAUAUAUACUGUGACAACCCUUGAAAUUACCCCUGGCUUGUGUGGUGGCACACGCCUGUAAUCCCAGCUACUCGGGAGGCUGAGACAGAAGAAUCACUUGAACCCUGAAGGCGGAGGUUGCAGUGAGCUGAGAU